rnacentral:misc_RNA from 1 species
GGCAUAAAAUAAAUCUUCUCUGAGUGAUUGAGCAGCGAAUCCACUAAUGCAGACCAAUAAUCCUCUAUACUAGUCCCAUUGAUUAAGCUUGAUCUAAGACGAAGGGGAGAUUCAAUCCACACAACUGCAGCUUGAGGACAGGUAAAAAACAUAUGCUUUGAAGAUUUAGUUUCACCACAAACAUGACAUUCAGGUCCUAUGUGAGGGAUUCGAC